GAUGAAGAACGCAGUGAAAUGCGAUAAGUAAUGUGAAUUGCAGAAUUCAGUGAAUCAUCGAAUCUUUGAACGCAUCUUGCGCUCCUUGGUAUUCUGAGGAGCAUGCCUGUUUGAGUGUCAUUAAAUUCUCAACUACACUGACUUUGAAUUGGUGUGGCUUGGAUUUGGGGGGAAAAUUGUUGUGGGCUUUUUUGUAUAGUCUGCUCCCCUGAAAUUGAUUAGCGGUACCUUUGUGGAACUGUCUACAGGUGUGAUAAUUAUCUACAUCCUAGACAUCUGCUGGAAUGCUGCUUUCUAAACCUUACUUGUAUUGACAAUCUUGACCUCAAAUCAGGUAGGACUACCCGCUGAACUUAAGCAUAUCAAUAAGCGGAGGA
rnacentral:misc_RNA from 1 species